AAUCUUCCGCAAUGGACGAAAGUCUGACGGAGCGAUGCCGCGUGAGUGAUGAAGGUCUUCGGAUCGUAAAACUCUGUUGUUAGGGAAGAACAAGUAUCGGAGUAAUAUGCCGGUACCUUGCCGGUCCCUCACCUGAAAGCCCCGGCUACCCACUUCCCACCAGCCGCAGUAAUACGUAGGGGGCAAGCGUUGGCCGGAAUUAUUGGGCGUAAAGGGCACGCAGGCGGUUAUUUAAGUCUGAUGUGAAAUCUUGUGGCUUAACCACAAGCGGUCAUUGGAAACUGGAUAACUUGAGUACAGAAGAGGAGAGUGGAAUUCCACGUGUAGCGGUGAAAUGCGUAGAGAUGUGGAGGAACACCAGUGGCGAAGGCGGCUCUCUGGUCUGUAACUGACGCUGAGGUGCGAAAGCGUGGGUAGCGAACA
rnacentral:rRNA from 1 species